CUCACAGAGUUAUUUUCAGAGGAUAUACUUGAUUUAUAUUUAAGAAGUGAAAAAUCGCAUAUUAAGCCUUUAAGGAAGAAGAGGGAUAAGUUGCAAUGGAUUGUGGGAUGUGUAGUUCCUUGACUCCGGGAGAAAAUGACAUACAGUACAGUCUUGUUCCUUCGCCUUUUUCUGUGUUCAACACCGUUUUUACGCCAAAUCAAAUGUAUUAUAAUCAUCAAUGUUUGGGGUAGCUGGUUGUCAUGUAUCACCACACUUCUCUUUGAAUAUUUAUCUUAAAGGAUAUUGGAUGAAACCUGACAACAAAUAUAAAUGUAUUCAUCGGAAGAGAGCCGUUAAAGAAGAGAUGAGAGAAGUGAGUCUGUUGAACGCUGAGUGUCGUUGUUUUGAAGGAUUUUCUCUCCGUGGAGAAGAGACUGAAACACGCUGGUAUCCAGCUUUAAUAAAUAAAUAAAAAGUCGAUGUU